GCAUAGCUGAAUGCUAUGUUCUUUUUAUCAUUAGAAGCUUUCACAGCCAGACACCAUGAGAAGUAAAGUCUUCCCUUUAAAAUGACUACAAUAGUACACCAAGUUUUUUCAUAGCAUAUCCUUAUUAAAAGUGGACAUAAAU